rnacentral:rRNA from 1 species
AGUGAACGCUGGCGGUAGGCCUAACACAUGCAAGUCGAACGGCAGCACAGUAAGAGCUUGCUCUUACGGGUGGCGAGUGGCGGACGGGUGAGGAAUACAUCGGAAUCUACUUUUUCGUGGGGGAUAACGUAGGGAAACUUACGCUAAUACCGCAUACGACCUACGGGUGAAAGCAGGGGAUCUUCGGACCUUGCGCGAUUGAAUGAGCCGAUGUCGGAUUAGCUAGUUGGCGGGGUAAAGGCCCACCAAGGCGACGAUCCGUAGCUGGUCUGAGAGGAUGGUCAGCCACACUGGAACUGAGACACGGUCCAGACGCCUACGGGAGGCAGCAGUGGGGAAUAUUGGACAAUGGGCGCAAGCCUGAUCCAGCCAUACCGCGUGGGUGAAGAAGGCCUUCGGGUUGUAGAGCCCUUUUGUUGGGAAAGAAAAGCAGCAGGUUAAUACCCCGCUGUUCUGACGGUACCCAAAGAAUAAGCACCGGCUAACUUCGUG